GAUGAACGCUGGCGGCGUGCCUAAUACAUGCAAGUCGAGCGAACAGAUGAGGAGCUUGCUCCUCUGACGUUAGCGGCGGACGGGUGAGUAACACGUGGAUAACCUACCUAUAAGACUGGGAUAACUUCGGGAAACCGGAGCUAAUACCGGAUAAUAUAUUGAACCGCAUGGUUCAAUAGUGAAAGACGGUUUUGCUGUCACUUAUAGAUGGAUCCGCGCCGCAUUAGCUAGUUGGUAAGGUAACGGCUUACCAAGGCAACGAUGCGUAGCCGACCUGAGAGGGUGAGCGGCCACACUGGAACUGAGACACGGUCCAGACUCCUACGGGAGGCAGCAGUAGGGAAUCUUCCGCAAUGGGCGAAAGCCUGACUGAGCAACGCCGCGUGAGUGAUGAAGGUCUUCGGAUCGUAAAACUCUGUUAUUAGGGAAGAACAAAUGUGUAAGUAACUAUGCACGUCUUGACGGUACCUAAUCAGAAAGCCACGGCUAACUACGUG
rnacentral:rRNA from 1 species